rnacentral:rRNA from 1 species
ACUCCUACGGGAGGCAGCAGUGGGGAAUAUUGCACAAUGGGCGCAAGCCUGAUGCAGCGACGCCGCGUGGGGGAUGAAGGCCUUCGGGUUGUAAACUCCUUUCGCUAGGGACGAAGCUUUUUUGUGACGGUACCUAGAUAAGAAGCACCGGCUAACUACGUGCCAGCAGCCGCGGUAAUACGUAGGGUGCGAGCGUUGUCCGGAAUUACUGGGCGUAAAGGGCUCGUAGGUGGUUUGUCGCGUCGUCUGUGAAAUUCUGGGGCUUAACUCCGGGCGUGCAGGCGAUACGGGCAUAACUUGAGUGCUGUAGGGGUAACUGGAAUACCUGGUGUAGCGGUGAAAUGCGCAGAUAUCAGGAGGAACACCGAUGGCGAAGGCAGGUUACUGGGCAGUUACUGACGCUGAGGAGCGAAAGCAUGGGUAGCGAACAGGAUUAGAAACCCUUGUAGUCCCAU